rnacentral:lncRNA from 1 species
CAGAGAUAUACCGGGAAGAAGGAGGAAGUCAGUCAGAGAAUUGCGUUAUACGGAGUUGUACUGCUACCAGCCAAGAAUGCCAAUGACUCCCAGUAACCAUUAGAAGCUAGAAGGGGGGAAGAAGAAAUCUCACUAGAGCCUUCAGAGAGAAUAUGGCCCUGCUGAAACAUUGAUUUCAGACUUAAAGCCUCCAAAACACAUCAUGAAAUUUGACCUCUUCAGCCGUGCAUGGUUAACACUCCAUCUAUCUGAGUAAGUCCUGCCUUGAAGAAUCGUGAGUGCAAACCAGUUUGAGAGAGAAGAGGAAAAAUAAAUGGUCGUGCUCUGUCUUCCAGGCUGGAAUGCAGUGGUAUGAUCACAACUCACAACUUACUGCAUCCUCUACCUCCUGAGCUCAAGGGGAAUCCUUCCACUUCAGCCUCCAAGGUGGCUGGGACCAUAGAUACACUCCACUACUCAAAGUUUAGCAACCACUCAAGGAAAUUUAAAACACUAAAUUUCUGGACUUGCCAGACUAAGGGCCAGACUCUGGACCUCACCAAAUUCAUCAAG